AGGGGUGUAGCUCAAUCGGGAGAGCAGCGGUCUCCAAAACCGCAGGUUGCAGGUUCGAUCCCUGUCACCCCUGCCA
rnacentral:tRNA from 4 species